GACGAACGCUGGCGGCGUGCCUAAUACAUGCAAGUAGAACGCACAGUUUAUACCGUAGCUUGCUACACCAUAGACUGUGAGUUGCGAACGGGUGAGUAACGCGUAGGUAACCUGCCUGGUAGCGGGGGAUAACUAUUGGAAGCGAUAGCUAAUACCGCAUAAUAUUAAUUAUUGCAUGAUAAUUAAUUGAAAGGUGCAAUUGCACCACUACCAGAUGGACCUGCGUUGUAUUAGCUAGUAGGUGAGGUAACGGCUCACCUAGGCGACGAUACAUAGCCGACCUGAGAGGGUGAUCCGCCACACUGGGACUGAGACACGGCCCAGACUCCUACGGGAGGCAGCAGUAGGGAAUCUUCGGCAAUGGACGAAAGUCUGACCGAGCAACGCCGCGUGAGUGAAGAAGGUUUUCGGAUCGUAAAGCUCUGUUGUAAGAGAAGAACGGGUGUGAGAGUGGAAAGUUCACACUGUGACGGUAUCUUACCAGAAAGGGACGGCUAACUACGUG
rnacentral:rRNA from 1 species